GAAGAAAGCGGGAGGCGCGCCUAAUACAUGCAAGUCGAACGCUGAAGGAGGAGCUUGCGCUUCUGGAUGAGUUGCGAACGGGUGAGUAACGCGUAGGUAACCUGCCUGGUAGCGGGGGAUAACUAUUGGAAACGAUAGCUAAUACCGCAUAAGAGUAGAUGUUGCAUGACAUUUACUUAAAAGGUGCAAUUUCAUCACUACCAGAUGGACCUGCGUUGUAUUAGCUAGUUGGUGGGGUAACGGCUUACCAAGGCGACGAUACAUAGCCGACCUGAGAGGGUGAUCGGCCACACUGGGACGGAGACACGGCCCAGGCGACUACGGGAGGCAGCAGUCGGGAAUCUUCGGCAAUGGAGGGAAGUCUGACCGAGCAACGCCGAGUGAGUGAAGAAGGGUUUCGGAUCGUAAAGCUCUGUUGUAAGAGAAGAACGAGUGUGAGAGUGGAAAGUUCACACUGUGACGGUAUCUUAACAGAAAGGGACGGCUAACUACGUG
rnacentral:rRNA from 1 species